AUACGGAGGGUGCAAGCGUUGUCCGGAUUUAUUGGGUUUAAAGGGUGCGUAGGUGGUUUUUUAAGUCAGUGGUGAAAGCCUACAGCUUAACUGUAGAGGUGCCAUUGAAACUGGGGAACUUGAGUAUGGACGAGGUAGGCGGAAUUUGUGGUGUAGCGGUGAAAUGCAUAGAUACCACAAAGAACACCGAUAGCGAAGGCAGCUUACUAGGCCAUAACUGACACUGAGGCACGAAAGUGUGAGGAGCGAACAGGAUUAGAAACCCUAGUAGUCC
rnacentral:rRNA from 1 species